GAUGAACGCUAGCGAUAGGCUUAACACAUGCAAGUCGAGGGGCAGCAUGGUCUUAGCUUGCUAAGACUGAUGGCGACCGGCGCACGGGUGCGUAACGCGUAUGCAACUUGCCUCACAGAGGGGGAUAACCCGUCGAAAGACGGACUAAUACCACGUACACUUGGGAUAGGGCAUCCUGACCCAAGGAAAUGAAAUUCGCUGUGAGAUAGGCAUGCGUCCCAUUAGCUAGUUGGUGAGGUAACGGCUCACCAAGGCGACGAUGGGUAGGGGAACUGAGAGGUUGAACCCCCACACUGGUACUGAGACACGGACCAGACUCCUACGGGAGGCAGCAGUGAGGAAUAUUGGUCAAUGGGCGAGAGCCUGAACCAGCCAAGUCGCGUGAAGGAUGACUGUCUUAUGGACUGUAAACUUCUUUUAUACGGGAAUAACAAGAGCCACGUGUGGCUCCCUGCAUGUACCGUAUGAAUAAGCAUCGGCUAACUCCGUG
rnacentral:rRNA from 1 species